GGCUUUGGCGUUUGGGAAUAAUUAUUUAACAGCAGCUUGUUUGCACUUUGGAACACCUCGUGCUUCCAGAGCCGGCCCAUCCUGCUGGGGAGGGGAGAGGUCCCAGCGCUGCUGUCUGGCAGACCUUGGUUUCGGUGGGCACCAGAAGCGAGGCAGAUUGCUUGCUGCUGCAACUUCACGCGUGAGCUCCAGGCUCCCCUGGUUGGAAGGUGCCAGGGAGUGAGGCGGUUUUAAGAUUCCUUCAACAUCAGGAUUCCCGAUCAUCUCAUCAACCGACUUGUUAAGAAAACUGAGGCCCAGGGAAGUGGCUCACAAUUGUGUAGAAUUGUGAGGUGUCUUGACUGCUGGGCCAGGACUGAAGGACGUACGCCCUCUCCCGGAAUCGUCUCAGCUACAGAGAACCACCUUGCCCAAGGUCACCACCCUCUUGCCAAGGGGGUCACUUGGAUCUAAUGAUUGGUUAAUGCUGGGGGGAGGGGGUAAGUCUUGGCCCCCAGCCUCAACAGUGAUGGCGGUGGCUCCGGGGUCAUCCUAGCUUCCGAGUUUCGUCUAGGUUGAGGGCGCCAUGUUGGGACUGCAUCAGCUUCUCUCUCUGCCUGGUUCUGCUUCCUUUACUUUACCAUUUGUUGUUAGUCCAGGGCACACCCCAGUAAACUUCCUGCAUGCGAGUUCAUCUUAGACUGCUUCCCAGGGAAUCGUAUGUACAACACUCGGGAGUAGAGAGUCACUGAAACGGCCCUAGCUCUGAGAGACCCCUCCUGACCAGCCAUCACCCCUCCCGCUCUUCCUUACUCUGAUUUAUUGUCUUCGUAGAAUUUAACUCUCAGGUCUAUGGCCAUACUGCCCUGAAUGCGCCUGAUCUUGUCUGAUUUCAGAAGCUAAGCAGGGUCGUGCCCGGUUAGUACUUGGAUGGGAGAAUUUAGUGCUCGAACACUAUUGCUGUAGCUUUCUUUAAUAAAUAAAUUUGACUGCCUUUCCUGCUAGACUGUAAGCUCUGUGCAUGCAGGGACAUAGUCUCUCUUGUUCUGCAGAGCCAAGAGCAGGGCCUGGUACCUGACAGGCACUCGGACAACACGUACUGAACAAGUGAAUGAACUUCCAGGCAGGAAGAGUCACACAUCCUCACCAACAACUCCUAGGGUUUCAGAGAACUAGAAAGUCUAGGAAUACAGAGGGUGCUUUCAAAAGUGUUGUCUGUAAUUGGAAAUGCCUUAUGUUUGUUUAGUGCUUUAGUUUUAUUCAUUUUUUUUUAAAGCAGUUCAUUCAAUAUUGAUAGCAACCCAUAUUAUCAUAAACCCCCAUGUGGUGGGCAAGAUAGAGGGUUGCUUUGAAGCACUGGGAGAAGAGAAACCGGCCUUGGUGAGUUGAGUCUCUUGCUCAGCCAGGCCCACAUGGAAAUGCUGGUAUCCUGCCUCCUGGACCCAUGGUCCUGUCUCUGUAUCAUCAGCAGAAGCAAACUCAAGUCAGUUGCCACUGAAACUCACCGAGUCUGACUUUCCCCCAUGAAUACUCAUAUGGGGGCCAUUUUAUUGGAGAGGAUUUCAUAUUCACCACCCUGUACGGAAUUCUAAGUGCUAGCUCAGUGCUUUCAGGUGAUUACCAUUCUUUUUUUUUUUUUUUUUGAGAUGGAGUCUUGCUGUUGCCCAGGCUGGAGUGCAGUGGCGUGAUCUCGGCUCCCUGCAACUUCUGCCUCCUGGGUUCAAGCAAUUCUCCUGUCUCAGCCUCUUGAGUGGCUGGGAUUACAGGCGUAUAUCACCACGCCCAGCUAAUUUUUGUAUUUUUUAGUAGAGACGGGGUUUUAUCACGUUGGCCAGGCUGGCCUCGAACUCCUGACCUCAAGUGAUCCGCCCGUCUCAGCCUCCCAAAGUGCUGGGAUUACAGGUGUGAGCCACCGUGCCCAGCCGAUGACCACUCUUUAGAGUUUGGGAUUAUUCUUCCAAAUGGAGAUGAUUCAGCCAUGUCUGAUAUUGGUGAUUUGAGAAGGAGGAUGUCUAGGAUUGAUGCUUUGAGAAGACGAUCUCAAUUUUCUUAGAAUAUGAUUCCUUUUGUCCUUGGAGAGUUAUUUUUAAGUAGCAGAUUCUGGGAACUCCCCAUGCCCUCCACCUCCUACUCCCAAAUUCCGCCCCCGCCCGCCCCCGCGGCCAAGUAGGCCUGGUCUCUAGACGCAUGGAAAGCGUUCAGGUCCACUCAGACUGUGCUGCGAUCUGAAAGAAUGAUAACAUACGAGAAGGCCCUUUGGUCCUACACUGUGAAUGAGUAAGGGGCAGCUGCAAAAUGCUAAGAAUGCUGAGUGCAUUAAGUGAAGUGUUUCUCCCAGGUGUGCACAGGGUGUGGCUUCCAAGGGGAAUGUGGAUGCUGGAAUGAGGGAGGCAGCCACCUAGGCCGGUCAAGUCAGAGGCCCAGCAAGGAGAAAGCGAGCCAAGGCAAACGCCGACAGAAGAGAACGAUAAAUCCGCGGCGCACUCGGCAGAACGUACACCGCACCGCAUAAUUUAGCGGGGCAAUGCCGCCGGGAGUCCACGCCAAGUUAAUGGAAUAUUUCCUGUAAAUAUUAUUUUCCCUUCCUGUCUCAUCAUCUCAUUUCAUUCAAAAAUCUUUACUAAUCCGGGGGAGUGAAAGUAAUGCAUCAAUUUCCAGAGCCAAUGCCCCUGCUUCCGAAAUACCCUUAGGAAUCACUGGAAGCCACCGCGGCUGCUUAGGGACAGGGGGGCAGGCCGUUUACUCUGGUUCCUUCUCCUAAUGCCUCAGAGGGGACCCCAUAGUGCUCCUAAUUGUGCAUCUAAGUGUACAUAAAAGCCCCCCUAAUUGCACAUCAAAUAAAUAAGUAAAUGCUGUCUGCUGAAUAUGUAACAAGGACUGAUGUUGCUAUUUCUUCCCAGGGGGGAGAUUUCAUUAAAUCUGGGCUGCAUUUCUAAGUGAUGAUUUACAGAUAUUGAAUAUUCUUUACAAGGGAGGCUUUUUUGGAGUUAUGUGCUUCACAAUAUUUGCUCUAAUGCUUAAAGCCUCAGAUACAGCCUGCUGGAGGUCUCUUUAUUCUAACUCUUAGUGUCCUUUUGGAAAGUCUUUUCUGCUUUAAUGUGUAAUGGCUUCCGAUGAUCAGAUGGCUGGUUUGUCUGCAGGUCUGGGGACUGUGCAACCCCCUGGUCUCCCAAUGCCUCAGUUACUGACGCUGCAAACAAGGCAGAUUGUCCCAGAGAUUAGAGCUCUCAGGCUUUCUCGGGCUUCAAUCAAUCAAAGGAACGUAAGGACCCCUCCCCUACAGAGAGAGCCGGACGUGAGCCAGAUUUUGUCCAGACUUACUUAUAUCUGCCCUGUGGGAUCCCGAUUCUGCAAGAUUUAAUAAACAAUGCCUCAACAGAUAGCAUUUAAUUUUCAUUCAAACGUUUCCAGGGAAGAAAGAGGUAAAACUCUUGCUUGUACCAGCACAACUGCCCGAAACCCGUGGGAUACCCAGUCUGAGGCAUGUUGCUAUCGACAGUCAUUUCACACAGCUGGCAGUUUUUUCUUUUCUGAUGGCCUAGCUCUCUUUACUCCACCGUAAAUGCAAACUAAGACGAAACUUGGGAUUUACCUCCGGUGCCUAAAUGCCAACCUGACACUGUCUCAUUGUCUCCUGAGCCCAGUAGGACGGUAAUUUGUGAAAUACGGAGCCUCUCACCUCAGCAGCGCUUCUUUCUAUUCCCACACAUAUGCACAUGCUAAAAUGGAAUGUGGUAACUAGCAUAAAAUAGGGUACAACAAUUGCUGCAAGAUUUGUUUUUUUGGCUGGGCACAGUGGCUCACGUCUGUAAUCCCAUCACUUUGGGAGGCUGAGGUGGGUGGAUCUUUUGAGGUCAGGAGUCUGAGACCAGCCUGACUAACAUGGUGAAACCCAGUCUCUACUAAAAAUACAAAAAAAAAAAAAAAAAAAUUAGCCAGGCAUGGUGACACACGCCUAUAGUCCCAGCUACUCUGGAGGCUGAACCAGCAGAAUUGCUUGAACCCAGGAGGCAGAGGUUGCAGUGAGCCAAUAUCGUGCCACUGCACUCCAGCCUGGGAGACAGAGCGAGACUCCCUCUCAAAAAAAAAAAAAGAUUUUUUUUUUCUAUUGUGACUUUUCUACUUCUGUCAUCACUGCUGAGCCAAGACAGACAUGUAAGAUCCCGUCAGCACCGUACUUGGAUGCUGCAUUCACAAUUGUGAAUUCCAACCGUAGCCAUGACAAAGGAGAGAGGAGAGCUACAAAGCACUCAAAGGGAUGUCCCC
rnacentral:lncRNA from 1 species